rnacentral:rRNA from 1 species
CAGCAGUGGGGAAUCUUGGACAAUGGGCGCAAGCCUGAUCCAGCCAUGCCGCGUGAGUGAUGAAGGCCCUAGGGUCGUAAAGCUCUUUCGCCAGGGAUGAUAAUGACAGUACCUGGUAAAGAAACCCCGGCUAACUCCGUGCCAGCAGCCGCGGUAAUACGGAGGGGUUAGCGUUGUUCGGAAUUACUGGGCGUAAAGCGCGCGUAGGCGGAUUAGUCAGUUAGAGGUGAAAUCCCAGGGCUCAACCCUGGAACUGCCUUUAAUACUGCUAGUCUUGAGUUCGAGAGAGGUGAGUGGAAUUCCGAGUGUAGAGGUGAAAUUACGUAGAUAUUCGGAGGAACACCAGUGGCGAAGGCGGCUCACUGGCUCGAUACUGACGCUGAGGUGCGAAAGUGUGGGGAGCAAACAGGAUUAGAUACCCUGGUAG